UAAACAAAGAGAAUAAAAAAUUCGAAAUUUGUGAAUGCUGAAAACCAGUCACGUUUUAACUUUACCCUACCCUAAAGCAACAGCAUUCAGGACUGCUUUUAACCUACGUACUCCCUGCUUUACUAGCUGGUUAAUAAAUGAAUAACGAUGAAUUCGUUAAUCUGUAUUACGUGUCCCAAAUAGCAUAUUUAUAAAUUAAAACAAGAGUAAGACGAUUAUAGAAAAAAAUUGAAAGGACUUAAUUUUAUGUAGCAAUCCUUCUAAAUUUGUUCAUAGACUUUUGUAACAUUCCUAUAUACAUAUAGGUUAACAACAGGUUGUUCGGGUAAGGGUUGGCUUUUCUACCAACAUUUUGCUAGUCCAUUCAAAAUUAGAAGCUCAGCUUGCUUAGCGCUGUGGCUUCCAUUAUACCCAAUUUUUAAUUACUUGCUCUUCAUUGUCAUUCUGCUAAUUAAAAAUUAUAAAAUAAGAAAAACAUGCUAAUCCAUUAGACUAUUAUUUGUUGCAUCUGAAUAGUGAAAAUAAAUAGUUACUAAAAGAUUUUAAAAUCGUAUGACUGCUAUUAUCACAUACAUAAAGGGAAAGAAAAGAGUUGGGAGUAUAAUUAAAACCAUGAAAAAAGAAAUAACUUGAUCGUAUUACUUCUCCGACUGUAAAGUCUGAGUAGCAGCUUGAGCAAGCAUAGAGAGACGAUUCUGUAAAUCAUAAUCGUUGAACUCCUGAGCUUUUUUGAGAUAAUGAUUGACUUCCUUUUCAGCAGCCAUUCCAUGCAUAUCCCAAUACAAAGCCGCUAGUUCAUAAUAUGCAAAGGGUAAAAUCCAUAAUUCUCUGUUGUCACGGGACAAAUAACCUUGGUCCAACUGUAAUACGUGUUCCAUACGCACUCUACAAGAAUCAUACUCCUUCAAAUGACGAUCAAUAACACCGAGGAGGAAUUCUUUAAGACCUGCUUCAUCUUCUUCUGAGCACUUGCAUGUUUCCAAGUCAGCUCGAAGAGCUUCGGCCUCUUUGGGGUCUUUUAAGCUACAAAUCACAAAAAUAUAAAUAAGCUCAGCAUACGGAGGGACAUCCAUCGCAUCCGCAAUGCUGAUAUUCAGUUUCUCUGCCCUAUCUUCCCAUUUUUGUACCUUUCUAAUUAAGUACGCCUCAACAGGCAAUGUUCUUCUCUUUUUCUUCUUUUGAACCAAAGUGGGUGCAUUUUUAAGAUACUCAAUUCCGUGAUCAAUACUGGCUUUGGCUUCUUCUUCACUGCCACCAGAACCCAGAAUUUCUUUGCCGUGUUGCAAAAGACAGCAUCCGGCAAAAUAACGAUAAAACGCAUGGGACCAAGAGUUAAGGUCUUCCAAUUCGAUAAUGGCAUCAGCUGCUUGCUUAAACUUCCUCAUUCCAACGUAUAACAUGGCAGUAUCAAAGCCUUUCAUGGCGAUAAUUUGUUCCAUGCUACUGUCGAUACUAAGUUCUUCCAUUUCCAAAGCCAUUUGAGACUCACCGGUUAGGAAAUAAAUUUUGGCUUCCAUGACUGCCCAUAGGGCACCUUUGGAAUAGCGUUUACGAAUAUCUUUAACUGCUUGAAGACAGUGCUCCAGCUCUUGGUCAUAAUUUGAAGGAGGGAUGCUACCCAGACUCUGAAUCAUUGCAUUAAAGGCAUACAGACAUAACAGAGCAAUGGCUCCUUGGAUGUUAGGGUACUUGGAAGCGCGCCAAAGAAGUUCAAGCGAUUCUUUCCUAACGCCGUGAAACGAAAAAAGUGAGAGGAUACGAGAUAAUGACGGAGGAAACAUUGAAACCAAAAAUGUAAGUACACCAUAUCCGGUAAUUACGCCUGACUCAAUAAAUUCAUCGAUAAAGGUGGCAUUCGGACUGAGGGAUUUAAUUUCGCCGGUUUCUUUUUUGUGUUGAACGUCGCGAACAUGUUCCAUCAUUUUCGAAAAAGAAAGAAAAGUUUUGCGGAUGCGAUAAGCUGCUUUCAUUGAGUCCACAAUGGAAUCAGAAACAAAACCUAAAGCGGAUUGCAUGAGGUAAAUAUCAGAAAGACAAAGCUGAAGUUCCAUUCCGGCAGGAUAACUGCCAAUCGGACGAUCGUGAUGCUCAAAGUGCUUUUUACGCUCUUCUGUGACCUGUUCAGCGUGGUAAAGGGCUUCCGUGGCUUCCUCAAUGGCUUUAGGCUCAAGACCCAAAAUGGCAUUGUAAAAAGCGCUUCCUGAUCUACCAACAGCACUUUCUACAGUGUCAUCACUAAAAGCGGAUUUUACGCCCUGUGCAUCAUCGUCUAACAUGAGGUCUAAGCCGUACAAUAAUUCGCGUAAACGUUGAACAUGCAGGUCAUGAUCAAUAGGGUCCGGCUGCUCCUCAGGCUCCCUUUUUCCAAUAAUAGGCAGCCGUAAGUGGUUUUUAAUGUUGAACAUUCUUCUAUGGUAAAUGGUAUGGUGAUAUAAAAGGGGAUAAAGAAGAGGAGAUUGAGUUUAUAAAAGUUAGGUUCCUUUGCGAGAUUAGAAUAAAGAAUAGAAGUUUGAAAAGAGGAUGUAGAAUUGCUUAAGAGACUAGAAAAUGAAGAGGGUGUAAUGAAAAAGGUUGAUCGAU
rnacentral:lncRNA from 1 species